CAGCCACCACUACCCACCCCACACCCCUAUCGGCCACCACCAGUCCACCACCUAGACUCCUCCCCACCGGCCGGCGGCCGCACACCCGGCCAUCGCCCGCAGCCCGCAGCCGGUUCCCGAGCGGCCAACGCACCGCCGCCCGCAGCUGGCUGCCGUGCCCGCGCCCCUCAUCGGCUCUCCGCUCGGCAGCCCGCGCACCGCCACCGGCGGACGUGCCGCGCCCUCACCGGCUCGCCGCCCUCGGUCUGCCGCGCGGCCGCCCGCCGCUGGCCACUGCCCCGCGCCGCUCGCCGCCCUCGCCCUGCGUGGCUACGCGGCAGGCCGUCAGCGUCGCUCGCGGCCUUGCCCCUCGCCUAGUGCGGCAGCCCGCAGCGCCUCGCGCCCCUCACAAAUUGGGGCCAAUGACUUGCUCCCUACCUCGAGUUACAUAGCUUGCUCUCAGGUGUAUGCUCGUGGUUGUAACGAAAUGGAUCAUAACAUGAGAAUUAUACAACUAAUACAAGGUAUGUGUGAAUGGGCCUUCUCUUUCACAAAACUUUAUGCUUGCCAGUCUAAUAUCACCAAGAACACUCCUCUACUACUCUCUCAAAAGAAGUAGGAAGCAAGAAGCAAUACGUUGCAGAUUUUGCAGGUCAAAUUUUGUAUGUAACCCACUUCAAAUCUCGGUCUGGGCUUCCAGAACAACAGUUCACUCUAACAUCUCACAUUAAGAAAUAUCAGCGGAAGACAAAUAUGCCCCAGCUAGAAGCCUCGAACCAGUAGUAGAAGCAUGGCUGCAGUGGUUGCAGAAACAUUUUGCUACAUGCAUAUUUACAAUUUGUAGGAUCCGUCCGGGUGGGAGUCUUGUACGUAAGACGAGUUGCUCAUGACUGUGUACUGUGAUCGAUCAUGUGAAUGGUGCAGCGAGCAGAUCUGAUCUUAGCAUUUAAGCAUGGUUAUUUGUUCAUGCAUUUUGCUAGCUAGUCUUUUGUAAUACUAUAAUUUGUAAUUAAAGAGACGAUUCUGUUAAUUAUAUGAUUUGCUUUUCCACGUCA